AUGGGAGGUGUUUUUGGGAAGAACAAGGCACACUGUGUGUUCCCCAGGGUUGUUUAUAGGGCCAGGGGCAGGAAGGCUGCCCGGGCGUGCUGCGAUGCAGCCACCUGGACUGGGGAGAGCCACUUCCACUCAGCACGGAUUGGGAGGACUCGGAGGGGCUCUGAGCCUCCUGCUGCCCAGCUGGUGAUGGAAACUUCUGGAAGUGAGUUUGGAGAGGAGGAAGGAGACCCAGGCACUUCCCCAAGGGCACAGCACAGCGAGGCCUCAGUCCCUGUGGCUGCUGGAGACACACGAGGGGCUGAGCUGUCCCAGGAGCCUGAAGCCAAACCUCACCCAGAGCUGAUGGAACACCAGGGAUUCACUGGAGAGGCACAAAGAUCCCAAAAUCCUCAGGACAGCAGCGAGGCUGGAGCUGUCCUGCAUCCCCCUGGCAGCUCUUUGCACCCCGAGCUCCACCAUGGGGACCAGGGGGUGACACCUCCCCACCAGACCACGGUGGAGGUCGAUGUCCACGUGUCUGCAGGUGACCACGAGGAGCCUGGCUGGGGUCAGGCUGCAAGAUCUGAGCUGCUGAGCGCUGCAGGACAGGGGAAUGGGGCUGGCAGUGGUGCAGGGCAGGGGAAUGGGGCUGGCAGCACUGCAGAGGAUGCCUGUGUUGGGGAGGCUCUUUGGGAAGUGCCCAUGCAGACUGCAGGUGACACCACGGCUGCUCCGUGUCCCCUGGAGGAGCCAGAGCUGCCCCCGAAGGCUGCAGAGCCAGGAGAAGACAUCACAAGUGGGCAGAGAGCUGCACAAGAGCAGGGGGCAGAGGAAGCUAAAGCCCUGCCUGAUCUCCAGCUGGGACCAGGUGAGAUUCCUGAUCCUGAAGGUGUGACAGGAACUGCUGGUGAGCCAGAGCAAGCUGAAGAGAUGGCUGAGGCCUGUGGUGAUGGAAACACAUCAGAGGAGAUCCCAGCCUGGAUGCCAGAAACCCAGGAGGAGGAGGAGGAGACAAUCAAAGUUAACAGUGAGGGAAAAGCAGAGGAGCACUGA
rnacentral:lncRNA from 1 species